UGCUAAUUGCUUGAUUCUUCGAAUUGAGUGAUGUAAGCUAACGCGUUAAGCAAGGCGCCUGGGGAUUACGACCGCAAGGUUAAAACUCAAAGGAAUUGACGGGGGAGCGCACAACCGGUGGAGCAUGUGGUUUAAUUCGAUACAAAGCGAAAAACCUUACCUGGGUUUGACAUGUAACUGCACGGUCUAGGAAACUAGAUCUUCUUCGAGAGUGUUACACAGGUGUUGCAUGGCUGUCGUCAGCUCGUGUCGUGAGGCGUCCACUUAAGUGUGGUAACGAGCGCAACCCUUAUCCCGUGUUACAAGUGUCACGGGAGACUGCCUUGCUUUUUGCAGGGAGGAAGGAGAGGAUGACAUCAAGUCAGCACGACCCUUACAUCCAGGGCGACACACAUCCUACAAUGGAGCCGACAACGGGUAGCGAAGCCGCAAGGUGGAGCCAAUCCUUUAAACGGCCCCUCAGUUCAGAUUGUUCUCUGCAAUUCGAGAGCAUGAAGUCGGAAUCGGUAGUAUCGCAAA
rnacentral:rRNA from 1 species